GGGUCAGUAGGUUGGUCGUGCCACCGGUACGUACUGGUCUCACUGAUUCCUCCUUCCUGAAGAACCGUAAUGCCACUAAUUUGGUGUUGCGGGGAAACAGGACUGUUACUUUGAAAAAAUUAGAGUGUUUAAAGCAAGCUAACGCUUGAAUACAUUAGCAUGGAAUAAUGAAAUAGGACGAUCGAUCCUAUUUUGUUGGUUUGUAGGAUUGACGUA
rnacentral:rRNA from 1 species